rnacentral:lncRNA from 1 species
UGCUGAGAUCCCCCACUUCACCGUGAAAUCCUCCUGAAGACAAGCUUAUCACCUUGACAAGCAAAUUCAUCACUAAGAUGCCCUUUCUUUUAAGAAGUAUGAAGAUCUGACUCUCCUGAAGCAAAAGAAAAAUGAUUUUAUCCUCUCGGGAUUUUGUUCAGUUAAAGCAUACACAGAAGAAUGUUUAUGGUGCAUGAAGUGGCAGGGGCAGGUGGCAUGA